rnacentral:ncRNA from 1 species
AACUACGCUGUGAGAAGGAAUAGUAAAAAUUAUUUCGUUGUAGAGAGCACAUGGUCGGUGGAAAUGUGUACGAAUGCUUUUGAACUCGCCUUUUAGCGUUAACAGUUGAAAAAAGUAGGCUGUUACGGUGACGAUCGUUACAACGUUUGAGGCUCAUCUUUUUUGAUGAGUAAAGAUUAGGUGGUACCACGUAGAUUACGUCCUAUAA